rnacentral:rRNA from 1 species
UAAUCCGGGUUGCGGACAGUGUCUGGUGGGUAGUUUGACUGGGGCGGUCUCCUCCUAAAGAGUAACGGAGGAGCACGAAGGUUGGCUAAUCCUGGUCGGACAUCAGGAGGUUAGUGCAAUGGCAUAAGCCAGCUUGACUGCGAGCGUGACGGCGCGAGCAGGUGCGAAAGCAGGUCAUAGUGAUCCGGUGGUUCUGAAUGGAAGGGCCAUCGCUCAACGGAUAAAAGGUACUCCGGGGAUAACAGGCUGAUACCGCCCAAGAGUUCAUAUCGACGGCGGUGUUUGGCACCUCGAUGUCGGCUCAUCACAUCCUGGGGCUGAAGUAGGUCCCAAGGGUAUGGCUGUUCGCCAUUUAAAGUGGUACGCGAGCUGGGUUUAGAACGUCGUGAGACAGUUCGGUCCCUAUCUGCCGUGGGCGCUGGAGAACUGAGGGGGGCUGCUCCUAGUACGAGAGGACCGGAGUGGACGCAUCACUGGUGUUCGGGUUGUCAUGCCAAUGGCACUGCCCGGUAGCUAAAUGCGGAAGAGAUAAGUGCUGAAAGCAUCUAAGCACGAAACUUGCCCCGAGAUGAGUUCUCCCUGACUCCUUGAGAGUCCUGAAGGAACGUUGAAGACGACGACGUUGAUAGGCCGGGUGUGUAAG